rnacentral:rRNA from 1 species
CCUACGGGAGGCUGCAGUGGGGAAUAUUGCACAAUGGGGGAAACCCUGAUGCAGCGACGCCGCGUGAGUGAAGAAGUAUUUCGGUAUGUAAAGCUCUAUCAGCAGGGAAGAAAUAAAGUCCUUCGGACUUUGGACGGUACCUGACUAAGAAGCCCCGGCUAACUACGUGCCAGCAGCCGCUGUAAUACGUAGGGGGCAAGCGUUAUCCGGAUUUACUGGGUGUAAAGGGAGCUUAGACGGCAGCGCAAGUCUGGAGUGAAGUCCCCUGGCUUAACCAUGGAACUGCUUUGGAACCUGUGCAGCUGGAGUGCAGGAGAGGUAAGCGGAAUUCCUAGUGUAGCGGUGAAAUGCGUAGAUAUUAGGAGGAACACCAGUGGCGAAGGCGGCUUACUGGACUGUAACUGACGUUGAGGCUCGAAAGCGUGGGGAGCAAACAGGAUUAGAUACCCUAGUAGUC